GACGAACCGUGCGAACGUUAUUCGGAAUCACUGGGCUUAAAGCGCGUGUAGGCGGGAGGGCACGUCCGUCGCUGAAAUCCCCCGGCUCAACCGGGGAACGGGCGCGGAUACGACCUUCCUGGAGGGGCGUAGGGGGACCUGGAACUUCCGGUGGAGCGGUGAAAUGCGUAGAUAUCGUCUGGAACGCCAAAGGUGAAAACAGCUCGCUGGGGUUGUGCUGACGCUGAGACACGAAAGCCAGGGGAGCGAACGGG
rnacentral:rRNA from 1 species